rfam:Schistosoma curassoni strain Dakar, Senegal genome assembly, scaffold: SCTD_contig0012873
AUCCAGAUGACGUGUCCUUAAUAGAACGAAACGCGCGUCCUGAAU